rnacentral:rRNA from 1 species
UGGGGAAUAUUGGACAAUGGGGGGAACCCUGAUCCAGCCAUGCCGCGUGUGUGAAGAAGUCCUUAUGGUUGUAAAGCACUUUAAGCGAGGUGGAGGGUACUGGUAUUAAUACUACCAGCUACUGGACGUUACUCGCAGAAUAAGCACCGGCUAACUCUGUGCCAGCAGCCGCGGUAAUACAGAGGGUGCAAGCGUUAAUCGGAAUUACUGGGCGUAAAGCGCGCGUAGGUGGUUCGUUAAGUUGAAUGUGAAAGCCCCGGGCUCAACCUGGGAACUGCAUCCAAAACUGGCGAGCUAGAGUAGGGCAGAGGGUGGUGGAAUUUCCUGUGUAGCGGUGAAAUGCGUAGAUAUAGGAAGGAACACCAGUGGCGAAGGCGACCACCUGGGCUCAUACUGACACUGAGGUGCGAAAGCGUGGGGAGCAAACAGG